rnacentral:rRNA from 1 species
GGAGGGGUGCAAGCGUUAUUCGGAAUCACUGGGCGUAAAGAGCGCGUAGGCGGGUUUCUAAAGUCAGAUGUGAAAGCCCGGGGCUCAAACCCCGGAAGUGCAUUUGAAACUUAGGGACUUGAGUAUGGGAGAGGGAAGUGGAAUUCCUGGUGUAGCGGUGAAAUGCGUAGAUAUCAGGAGGAACACCGGUGGCGAAGGCGACUUCCUGGACCAAUACUGACGCUGAGGCGCGAAGGCGUGGGGAGCAAACAGGAUUAGAUACCCUGGUAGUCCACGCAGUAAACGUUGAACACUAGGUGUAGCGGGUAUUGACCCCUGCUGUGCCGCAGCUAACGCAUUAAGUGUUCCGCCUGGGGAGUACGGCCGCAAGGCUA